AGCUUUGUAUCCCCCUCCCCCAGUGCUGUUGACAAUAUAAAUCCUUGCACCUAAAAGAACAAACAAACAAAAUCCAAAAACCUCUUGUCUAUGUCAGAGGACACCGCUGUGUCUAGGGAAAUCACCACCUCUUCCUCCAAGUUUCCUGUGCUGUCCAUUAGAACAUGGCCGGCCCUCCUACCCCAGGCCCUAGAUGUGCCUCUGACCAUUCUUCUGUUUAUAACGCCAACCCUUACAUCUUUUAAAAAAAAAUAAUUUUAUGGGGUCUGAGAGAUGGCUCAGUGGUUAAAAGCGCUUGUUGCUCUUCCAGAGGACAUGGGUUUAAUUACCCAGACCCAUAUUUGGCUCCUGGCACCCACAUGAGACAGCUCACCACUGCCUGUGAUUUAGCUCCAGGGCAUCUGAUAUUCUCUUCUGGCCUGUGUGGGCACUUGCACACUUAUGGUGCACAGGCGUACAUUUAAGUGCAUACACAUACUCAUAGAUAAUAGAUGUCUUUAAGAAUAAUUUAUAGUGUGCUGCAAUACCCAUAACAAUUUACCAUUUUUAACCAUUAACCCUUUUAUUGCUGUGUGUGUGUGUGUGUGUGUGUGUGUUUCCCCUGGAAGGAUGAGGGAGGGAUGCUUCUAAGACCCAGGGAGUAAUUAGUCUCACAAGACUCAGGAAAUGUAAAAAGUUAAAAAUGUUUUUCCUCCCCAAGGUUACAUAAGCUGAAAUAAUCCUGGGGAGAAAGGCUCCUCAGGACCAACCAUGCUGUCUUUGGGGUGUCCAGGGAGCCCCAGGGUGUUUGAGCUAUCAUCCAUAUUGGUAUGGACUGUUCAAUGAUGCCCCUGAAAUCAGCCCAAAUAGCCAGCUCCCUAAGCUAGACCUGUUGAUGGACACUUGGGCUAUCUCCAUCAUCUCCAAGUUAUGAGUAAUGUUGUCUGCGUCUGGUGCUGUUGUGAGUGUGCAGUGUUGGUAUAGUUAGAUAGCACUGCUUCCCCGCCCUUGAGCGUGGUUAAGUAUCCUCAUCUAUCAUGACCCUGUUGUAAGUACUGUGGCUUCCCUUACCUUAGAAUAACUCGUGAGAAGACUUGAGGAGAAGUCUCAGUCAACAAAGCACUCGCCUCACACACCUGAGGACCUGAGGACCAAGCCACAGAACCCGAUUAAAAGGCUAAGAUUACAGAAGUGCAUGCCUGUAAUCCCAGUGAUGGUGAAGGGGGUGGAGAGAGGUGGAGCCCUAGAAACUCUCUGGUCUGCUAAAGCAAAGAAAGAGGGGGGAAGGUGUCUGUGCAAUGACAUCAGAUUUAUCCCCGGACCUCCACAUGCAUGUGCGUGCGCACACCAAUAACCCAAGAGACCCCUUAACUAAAAGCCUAGAUUUAUGCCAUGUCCCAUCCUCUUCCAGGUACCCUGGGUUUUGAUGCCUUACACACACACCUGACAGCCUCACCCCAGGUCCUAUCCACAUCAGCUUUGUCAACUUGACACAGCCGACAGCCAUCAAUGGAAGAAGUGCUUAAAUCAGGAUUGGGUGCCAGAACUUCCAGAAGUUUCAUCUGAGUGAUGAGGUUCGGAUCGGUGGAGGCACAAACUAGCCCUGGGCCCUGGCUGCUUGGAGUGUCGGUUACGAGCCUGCUGUGGGGCGUGGACUGGAUUGGAUCCGCUUUAGCUCCCGUGAAGCCUCUCAGUGCUUUAGGGAGGAGUGGAGCUACAUCUGUCUAUAGAAGCCAUGGUGGCUCACACCUGUAAUCCCAGGGUUUAGGGGGCAGAGGAGGAGGAUUGCUUUGAAUUUGAGCCCAGCCUCUUCUAUUGGUCAGCCAGAACUUGGGGGUGGGGGAAAGUCAUAUAUUGGUUUGUUCUGAAUAGACUGGACCUUAGGGUAACCAGGGAGGGGACACAGAGGGAGACAGGAUGGUUCCAGGAUGUCUUUUGCUGUAAGUUUUCCCAUUCGAGUGGCCACAGCUCUAGUCAUCCUGCCUUUUACACACAAGCAUUCCCCUCUAGGCUCUGGGCCCAGCCCCUCCUCUCCCAUGCGGGCACACUGAUAGACAACACACAUUUCUAGCUCUGAGGUACAAGGCUUCCCUUGUGGUCACCUACCCCCCUGUCCUGUUGUUCUGUGAAAUUCUUCUCUAACUUAUUGGCUUGACUUACCAAGACCCACGGUCAACGUGAGCCUACUAACGUGAGCCUCCUAAGGACAUAGGAAACAGGAGUGGAGCCCAUUACAAAAACCCCCACUGUCUCCCGGGCCUCCACUCUACCAGACAUCUCACAUGGGACCGAAUAAUGCUGACUUUAUUGCCUAGUAAAACGUAUAUAUAUAUCCCUAGCCUUCUGGGCCUGCUCUGUAGGACAGAUUUCAGAUGCCCACAAGAACCUAUGAUUAGAUCCCAGCUGCAUCCAGUGGCUUCAGGGACGCCCCUUCCGCUGUGGACUGGACUGGCCCAGAUGGGAAGGCUGAGUCUGAGGUGUUUGGACUUUCUCAGAAAUCAGAGUCCAGAGCUGGAGUAGCCAGUGUCUGACACUCAUACAUGUCUCAUGUUUAUCUGAACUGAUCCUUCUCUGGUUGGCUCUAAUAGACUAGUUGCUGGUGAUGUUGAGGAGAAGACUACGUUUUCUUGUUUUGUCUCAUGCAUGAUGCCACGGAUUAGGGCACGUGGCCCAUAGGUUGAAAAGUGGUGCCCUAUAUCCUGACUUCCACCCUCAUAAGAUUAAGAUGUUUUGCUGAAUAAUUUUGAAAUGUUCGGUCAAGUUCUUAUGUGAAUGAA